rnacentral:snRNA from 1 species
UGACAUGACAGCUCUGGCUGUGACAUCUGUGACCCCACUGAUCUCCAGGAUUGAUUCGGCUGAUCUGGCUGGCUAGGAAGGUGUCCCUCUCCUCCCUCACCACUCCAUGUGCAUCCCUCCAAAAGCUACGUGCUUGGUGGAAAACCAUCCCAGAUAGAAGGAGUGUGUUCUUUAGUCAUGUCUAUAAGUUAGCUGUGCUCCCCUGCUAAAACCUCCAAACAAGCUCAAGGUCCAUUUGUAGGAGAUGUAGGAUAGUCAAGCUUCCAAGACUCUACACACAUCCAAGUAAGGUGCUGCAUGUGGCAGUUUGCCAUCCU